CUAUACAUGCAGUCGAGCGAACAGACGAGGAGCUUGCUCCUCUGACGUUAGCGGCGGACGGGUGAGUAACACGUGGAUAACCUACCUAUAAGACUGGGAUAACUUCGGGAAACCGGAGCUAAUACCGGAUAAUAUAUUGAACCGCAUGGUUCAAUAGUGAAAGACGGUUUUGCUGUCACUUAUAGAUGGAUCCGCGCCGCAUUAGCUAGUUGGUAAGGUAACGGCUUACCAAGGCAACGAUGCGUAGCCGACCUGAGAGGGUGAUCGGCCACACUGGAACUGAGACACGGUCCAGACUCCUACGGGAGGCAGCAGUAGGGAAUCUUCCGCAAUGGGCGAAAGCCUGACGGAGCAACGCCGCGUGAGUGAUGAAGGUCUUCGGAUCGUAAAACUCUGUUAUUAGGGAAGAACAAAUGUGUAAGUAACUAUGCACGUCUUGACGGUACCUAAUCAGAAAGCCACGGCUAACUACGUGCCAGCAGCCGCGGUAAUACGUAGGUGGCAAGCGUUAUCCGGAAUUAUUGGGCGUAAAGCGCGCGUAGGCGGUUUUUUAAGUCUGAUGUGAAAGCCCACGGCUCAACCGUGGAGGGUCAUUGGAAACUGGAAAACUUGAGUGCAGAAGAGGAAAGUGGAAUUCCAUGUGUAGCGGUGAAAUGCGCAGAGAUAUGGAGGAACACCAGUGGCGAAGGCGACUUUCUGGUCUGUAACUGACGCUGAUGUGCGAAAGCGUGGGGAUCAAACAGGAUUAGAUA
rnacentral:rRNA from 1 species